GUGGGGAAUUUUGGACAAUGGGCGCAAGCCUGAUCCAGCAAUGCCGCGUGCAGGAAGAAGGCCUUCGGGUUGUAAACUGCUUUUGUACGGAACGAAACGGUCCGGGUUAAUACCCUGGGCUAAUGACGGUACCGUAAGAAUAAGCACCGGCUAACUACGUGCCAGCAGCCGCGGUAAUACGUAGGGUGCAAGCGUUAAUCGGAAUUACUGGGCGUAAAGCGUGCGCAGGCGGUUUUGUAAGACAGGCGUGAAAUCCCCGGGCUCAACCUGGGAAUUGCGCUUGGGACUGCAAGGCUGGAGUGCGGCAGAGGGGGAUGGAAUUCCGCGUGUAGCAGUGAAAUGCGUAGAUAUGCGGAGGAACACCGAUGGCGAAGGCAAUCCCCUGGGCCUGCACUGACGCUCAUGCACGAAAGCGUGGGGAGCAAACAGGAUUAGAUACCCGUGUAGUCC
rnacentral:rRNA from 1 species